UAUAUUAUAAUUUAAAUUAUAUAUAAAAGAUAAUUUGAUAUUUGUUUAUAUAUAUAUAAAAGUAAAAAAAAAACAAUUUUUCAGUUUUAUGAUUUAGAAGAAUUAUUUAGAACAGGUGGAAGAGUUCCAGAUACAAAUUAUAUAUUUCUUGGUGACUUUGUAGAUAGAGGUUAUUAUAGUUUAGAAACUUUUACACGAUUAUUGACAU